rnacentral:rRNA from 1 species
CGCAGCUAACUGUGUGAAAUCGUGUGAACUGCAGGACACAUGAACAGGAAAAUUACUCGGACGGAUUGCGGUCCGCGCGGCGUUUAAGUUUUUGUUUAAGCUGCAAGGACCCGUGUGGUUGAGUGUCGUA